UAGCGAAGGGGCUAGCGUUGUUCGGAAUUACUGGGCGUAAAGCGCGUGUAGGCGGCUUGGCAAGUCGGGUGUGAAAGCCCUGGGCUCAACCUAGGAAGUGCACUCGAAACUGCCUCGCUUGAAUGCCGGAGAGGAAAGCGGAAUUCUCGGUGUAGAGGUGAAAUUCGUAGAUAUCGAGAGGAACACCGGUGGCGAAGGCGGCUUCUGGACGGUGAUUGACGCUGAGACGCGAAAGCGUGGGGAGCAAACAGG
rnacentral:rRNA from 1 species